UUUAAAGAAAGCGUAAUAGCUCACUGAUCGAGUCGUCCUGCGCGGAAGAUGUAACGGGGCUAAGCCAGUUACCGAAGCUGCGGAUUUGCAAUUUAUUGCAAGUGGUAGGAGAGCGUUCUGUAGGCCUGUGAAGGUGUCUUGUAAAGGAUGCUGGAGGUAUCAGAAGUGCGAAUGCUGACAUGAGUAGCGUUAAAGGGGGUGAAAAGCCCCCUCGCCGUAAGCGCAAGGUUUUCUACGCAACGUUCAUCGGCGUAGAGUGAGUCGGCCCCUAAGGCGAGGCAGAGAUGCGUAGCUGAUGGGAAACAGGUCAAUAUUCCUGUACCGAUUACAAGUGCGAUGUGGGGACGGAGAAGGUUAGCUCAGCCAACUGUUGGAUAUGUUGGUUCAAGCCUGUAGUCGUGCCCGGUAGGCAAAUCCGCCGGGCUUAGAUGAGGGGUGAUAAGGAGUCUGCUUGCAGACGAACUGAGUGAUACCCUGCUUCCAGGAAAAGCCACUAAGCUUCAGCUUGUAACGACCGUACCGCAAACCGACACUGGUGCGCGAGAUGAGUAUUCUAAGGCGCUUGAGAGAACUCAGGAGAAGGAACUCGGCAAAUUGAUACCGUAACUUCGGGAGAAGGUAUGCCCCUAGUAGGUGAACUCGAACAGAGGGAGCCCAAUGGGGUUGCAAAAAAUCGGUGGCUGCGACUGUUUAAUAAAAACACAGCACUCUGCAAACACGAAAGUGGACGUAUAGGGUGUGACGCCUGCCCGGUGCUGGAAGAUUAAAUGAUGGGGUGCAAGCUCUUGAUUGAAGUCCCAGUAAACGGCGGCCGUAACUAUAACGGUCCUAAGGUAGCGAAAUUCCUUGUCGGGUAAGUUCCGACCUGCACGAAUGGCGUAACGAUGGCCACACUGUCUCCUCCAGAGACUCAGCGAAGUUGAAAUGUUUGUGAUGAUGCAAUCUCCCCGCGGAAAGACGGAAAGACCCCAUGAACCUUUACUGUAGCUUUGUAUUGGACUUUGAACAGAUCUGUGUAGGAUAGGUGGGAGGCUUUGAAGCCGGAACGCUAGUUUCGGUGGAGCCAACGUUGAAAUACCACCCUGGUGUGUUUGAGGUUCUAACCUAGGUCCAUUAUCUGGAUCGGGGACAGUGCAUGGUAGGCAGUUUGACUGGGGCGGUCUCCUCCCAAAGCGUAACGGAGGAGUUCGAAGGUACGCUAGGUACGGUCGGACAUCGUGCUAAUAGUGCAAUGGCAUAAGCGUGCUUAACUGCGAGACUGACAAGUCGAGCAGAUGCGAAAGCAGGACAUAGUGAUCCGGUGGUUCUGUAUGGAAGGGCCAUCGCUCAACGGAUAAAAGGUACUCUGGGGAUAACAGGCUGAUACCGCCCAAGAGUUCAUAUCGACGGCGGUGUUUGGCACCUCGAUGUCGGCUCAUCUCAUCCUGGGGCUGUAGCCGGUCCCAAGGGUAUGGCUGUUCGCCAUUUAAAGAGGUACGUGAGCUGGGUUUAAAACGUCGUGAGACAGUUUGGUCCCUAUCU
rnacentral:rRNA from 1 species